rnacentral:rRNA from 1 species
AGUGAACGCUGGCGGUAGGCCUAACACAUGCAAGUCGAACGGCAGCACAGUAAGAGCUUGCUCUUACGGGUGGCGAGUGGCGGACGGGUGAGGAAUACAUCGGAAUCUACUUUUUCGUGGGGGAUAACGUAGGGAAACUUACGCUAAUACCGCAUACGAUCUACGGGUGAAAGCAGGGGAUCUUCGGACCUUGCGCGACUGAAUGAGCCGAUGUCGGAUUAGCUAGUUGGCGGGGUAAAGGCCCACCAAGGCGACGAUCCGUAGCUGGUCUGAGAGGAUGAUCGGCCACACUGGAACUGAGACACGGUCCAGACUCCUACGGGAGGCAGCAGUGGGGAAUAUUGGACAAUGGGCGCAAGCCUGAUCCAGCCAUGCCGCGUGGGUGAAGAAGGCCUUCGGGUUGUAAAGCCCUUUUGUUGGGAAAGAAAAGCAGCAGGUUAAACCCCCGCUGUUCUGACGGUACCCAAAGAAUAAGCACCGGCUAACUUCGUG